UAAUCAAAUCAGUGCUUAAUCUCCCAUAGCGAUUAGGUCAUCCCAUAACCUAAUUGUAUUUGACUUAAUUGAAUCCAAUUCAAUUAGACUUAAUUCAGACUUUAAUGCUCAAUCAAAUUAAAUUAAUUAAAAAUAUAAUUACCAAAUAAUCCUUCUAAACAUCACCAACUCUUAAUGAAUUAAUUUACUGCAACUAUUGUUUAAGAGUAGUCAUCAAUCACAUUGACGAUUUUACCCUUGGAUAAUUCUUAAUCGUCGAUUAGCCAU
rnacentral:lncRNA from 1 species